rnacentral:tRNA from 1 species
UCUAAUAUGGCAGAAUAGUG